rnacentral:lncRNA from 1 species
GGCAGAGGACAGUAAAGAAGAACAGAAAGAGGGAGAAGUGAAGUCAUUGCCCAAUGCAGAAGAAGGCUCAAGUUACAUCUUUAGAUGGGAAAACUAUCAGAGCUUCUACUAAAACAGCUUCUGAGACCCUUUGUAUAAGAGGAAUUGUCCUUUUACUUCUAGAAACCAAAACCGAAGUCCUUCUCCACGUCUGGAUUCGUCAGCAACCGAGAGUUUUCCAAUUCUGGAGAGUAUAUAUUGCACUGAACAUCAGUUUAACCUCUAUAUUACCAUUUAAGGUGGAUAAAACAUCUUGCUUUUUUAGAUUAAUAAGGAUCAAAUGCAGACCAAGACAUCUGAUUUGUGCAGGGUUUUGUAUGGAAUCCCUCCUAGUUUCGUGUGCAAUCUCACCUUCCAUAAGUAGGCAUUCUUUUACUUGUUGA